AGUGAACGCUGGCGGUAGGCCUAACACAUGCUAGUCGAACGGCAGCACAGUAAGAGCUUGCUCUUACGGGUGGCGAGUGGCGGACGGGUGAGGAAUACAUCGGAAUCUACUUUUUCGUGGGGGAUAACGUAGGGAAACUUACGCUAAUACCGCAUACGACCUACGGGUGAAAGCAGGGGAUCUUCGGACCUUGCGCGAUUGAAUGAGCCGAUGUCGGAUUAGCUAGUUGGCGGGGUAAAGGCCCACCAAGGCGACGAUCCGUAGCUGGUCUGAGAGGAUGAUCAGCCACACUGGAACUGAGACACGGUCCAGACUCCUACGGGAGGCAGCAGUGGGGAAUAUUGGACAAUGGGCGCAAGCCUGAUCCAGCCAUCCCGCGUGGGUGAAGAAGGCCUUCGGGUUGUAAAGCCCUUUUGUUGGGAAAGAAAAGCAGCAGGUUAAUACCCCGCUGUUCUGACGGUACCCAAAGAAUAAGCACCGGCUAACUUCGUG
rnacentral:rRNA from 1 species